rnacentral:rRNA from 1 species
AGAUUGAACGCUGGCGGCAUGCCUAACACAUGCAAGUCGAACGGGAGUAGCAAUACUCUAGUGGCGGACGGGUGAGGAAUACGUAGGAAUUUGCCCUUAAGUGGGGGAUAACCCGGGGAAACCCGGAUUAAUACCGCAUGACCUCGAAAGAGCAAAGUGGGGGAUCGCAAGACCUCACGCUUUUGGAGAAGCCUACGUCGGAUUAGCUAGUUGGUGAGGUAAUGGCUCACCAAGGCGACGAUCCGUAACUGGUCUGAGAGGAUGAUCAGUCAACGACCGGAACUGACGACGACGGUCCGACUCCGUACGGGUCGC